rnacentral:rRNA from 1 species
UACGAGAGGCCCAAACGUUAUUCGGAAUUACUGGGCUUAAAGAGUUCGUAGGCGGCGCAGAAAGUAGGGUGUGAAAGCCCUCGGCUUAACCGAGGAAUUGCGCUCUAAACUACUGUGCUUGAGGACCUAGAGGUGAGCAGAACUGAUGGUGGAGCGGUGAAAUGCGUUGAUAUCAUCAGGAAUACCGGAGGCGAAGGCGGCUCACUGGGGGUUUUGCUGACGCUGAGGAACGAAAGCCAGGGGAGCGAAGCGGG